UGCGUGACUACUGGAUGUGGCGCCGGUAAAAAAAUAGAAAAUGAUCGUUGUGUGCCCUGUGAAAAGGAUAAAUACAGAAAUGCUGACUUUGAAUAUGGUCACUGUAGACCUUGUCUUCAAUGUAGACAAGGUUCAAAAGUGAAGUCUCCUUGCACAGCAGGGACUAAUACUGAAUGUGAUUGCAUCGAAGGAUUCACUCCUCGUUCUUCAAAAAAAGAUACAUGUUAUUGUGGCAAAGGAUCUGGAAUUGAUUCUACAGGGAGAUGCUCGACAUGUGAGGAUGGGUUCUUCAGCGAUAAAGCUGAUGAAUCGUCAAAGUGUCAAAAAUGGACAGAUUGUGGGUCGCUAGGUGUUAAGGUCAAAGGCAGUGCUUCUUCUGAUGUUACUUGCCACACUGCUACUGAAGGGACAGACACUGUGGUUCCUUCCUCAUCCCCAAGACUCACAACAAAGGCAUUUAU